AACGUAGGGGGCGAGCGUUGUCCGGAAUUACUGGGCGUAAAGGGCGCGUAGGCGGUUCUUUAAGUCAGAGGUGAAAACUGUCGGCUCAACCGGCAGCCUGCCUUUGAAACUGGAGGACUUGAGGGCAGGAGAGGGGAGUGGAAUUCCCAGUGUAGCGGUGAAAUGCGUAGAUAUUAGGAGGAACACCAGUGGCGAAGGCGACUUCCUGGCCUGUAACUGACACUGAGGCGCGAAAGCGUGGGGAGCGAACAGGAUUAGAUACCCCCGUAGUCC
rnacentral:rRNA from 1 species